CGUUGCCUAGGACGUUCGCCAGUGCGGGAAAGUCCUUGAGCCGUUAUAUAAACGUCAGGAGUUGUCGACGCGUCUUCCGGUGUGCAUGUCCGGCGUGGUUCACACCCCCGGGAAGCCUUAUGGAUUCGCCCGCUUCUCCGCCCUGAUCCACAACGGUUCAGGGCAACUCGUGCAGCGGCGUCCCGGGUAACCU
rnacentral:other from 1 species